rnacentral:rRNA from 1 species
UCGAGGGGUAUGGUUCUUCGGAACCAGAGACCGGCGCACGGGUGCGUAACGCGUAUGCAAUCUACCUUUUACAGAGGGAUAGCCCAGAGAAAUUUGGAUUAAUACCUCAUAGUAUUACGACUCGGCAUCGAGAUGUAAUUAAAGUCACAACGGUAAAAGAUGAGCAUGCGUCCCAUUAGCUAGUUGGUAAGGUAACGGCUUACCAAGGCAACGAUGGGUAGGGGUCCUGAGAGGGAGAUCCCCCACACUGGUACUGAGACACGGACCAGACUCCUACGGGAGGCAGCAGUGAGGAAUAUUGGUCAAUGGGCGCAAGCCUGAACCAGCCAUGCCGCGUGCAGGAUGAAGCAUCUAUGGUGUGUAAACUGCUUUUGUACGAGAAGAAACACUCCUACGUGUAGGAGCUUGACGGUAUCGUAAGAAUAAGGACCGGCUAACUCCGUGCCAGCAGCCGCGGUAAUACGGAGGGUUCAAGCGUUAUCCGGAAUCAUUGGGUUUAAAGGGUCUGUAGGCGGUUUUGUAAGUCAGUGGUGAAAGCCCAUCGCUCAACGGUGGAACGGCCAUUGAUACUGCAAGACUUGAAUUAUUGGGAAGUAACUAGAAUAUGUAGUGUAGCGGUGAAAUGCUUAGAGAUUACAUGGAAUACCAAUUGCGAAGGCAGGUUACUACCAAUAUAUUGACGCUGAUGGACGAAAGCGUGGGGAGCG